GACGUCAAAUCAUCAUGCCCCUUAUGACCUGGGCUACACACGUGCUACAAUGGAUGGUACAAAGGGUCGCGAAGCCGCGAGGUGGAGCCAAUCCCAUAAAACCAUUCUCAGUUCGGAUUGUAGGCUGCAACUCGCCUACAUGAAGCCGGAAUCGCUAGUAAUCGUGGAUCAGCAUGCCACGGUGAAUACGUUCCCGGGCCUUGUACACACCGCCCGUCACACCACGAGAGUUUGUAACACCCGAAGUCGGUAGGGUAACCUUUAUGGAGCCAGCCGCCGAAGGUGGGACAGAUAAUUGGGGUGAAGUCGUAACAAGGUAGCCGUAUCGGAAGGUGCGGCUGGAUCACCUCCUUUCUAAGGAA
rnacentral:rRNA from 1 species